UUUAUAUUUACAUCUAACACGAUUUUACAACCCAUAUGGAAAUGGGGUUUGUACAUUUAUUUAUAUAGCUGUAUAAUUUUGUAUUGCAAUGGGUCAAAAUAAUUGGCCAAAUCUGAUGUUAAGUAUAAGUUGAAUUGCAUACAAUGGUAGGCACUCACAGUGUUUUCUAAACAUUCAGUUUCAGUGAAAACAUUUGCAGUAAAUGACAACCGACAGCUCAAACAGGAAAAAUAGAAUGUGAAUAAACAUGUUUAUCAAGAGUUAUAAAAUGGUUUCAGUUUCUUUUUGCUGCUGUUAAAUACCAGAGAAAAGAGUCAACUCCAGUAUACUUCCAGCUGAUAUGGAGGACUUUUAAAGAGCGGGGAGUUCAGAGGUUCCAUCGGACCAUGGCUACCAUGGGCACUGAAGAACAAAAGCCAACAGUAUCUGAAUACGGAAAAAAGUCCAAAAGCUAAGGGAGGGCGGAGGAAGGACUUGGCGGAGGGUCGCCAGACCAAGUGUCCCCGCAGCCAGCGAGAGAGAGUCGCGUAGCGGCGACACGUUGAACGCCGCUGCAACUGGCAAGGCGGGCGACCACGGAAUGGCCACAUCAGAGGCCGACGACGAGGAGGUCACACAGCUGGCAGCGACGAUGACAGCGUCGGUGGAUCCGCUGCCGACGAUGAAGAUGGCGGUACUGUGCAGAGUCCCGCCAGUGACGUGGAAGACCUCCGCGCCGUGCAAUUGUGCGCCAGAGAAGAUGUCAUCAUGCGCGGAGUCAUUGACGAUGAAGGUGGUGUCAUGGGCGGAGUUUUCGACGAUGUUGACAAUGAAGAUGGCGGCGCCCUAGUGAUGCCCGCCAGAGAUGUGGUCGUGGGUGGAUCCGCUCCCGACCAGGAAGAUGGCGGUGUCGUGCAGAGUCCCACCGUUGACGCGGAAGAUGUCCACGCAGUGCGAAGGCGCACCAGAGAAGACGAAAGUGGCGGCGCCGUGGGAAGAGAUGAUGGCGGGGAUGACAGCGGCAUGUCCUUGAUUGCACCGCUGCUGGUAGUAGCCCCCCCUCCACUAAGCGGAUGCCAGACGCCGUCCACCACUGAGCGAAGAGUUGCUGUUUGCCGACGUCCCCCGAUGCGAAAACCGGGGACGGGCGGGAGAAGGCCAGGAGGAGGGAAAACGACACAUGCCUCGCCGAGUCCCAGUAGGCGGCCAGGAAGGACAUCACGGUGGGCUCCACUGGAGCCUUCGCCGGACUGGCAGGACGAGCGGGUGCUGAAAGGGAGAGUAGCCGUGGGGCAGCUGCUGGAAGCUGCCUGGGAGCAAAAACGGGUGCUGGGCGCUCAGCCGGUGUUGAUCCUCGUGGCGCCGCGACUGGCGUAAGACACGGGGCUGCGACCGGCGUGCGACGCGGGGCUGCGACCGGCGUGUGACGCUGUCUGGGAACCAGUGGUCGACGUGCCGGCACAGGUGAUUGCCAUGGAGCUGGGGCAGGAUGCACAGCAGGCGAUGGGGAAGAUGGCGGCGGUGGCCGCGCCGGUCGGAGAUCCAGGACCGGCGGCCGAGCCGGGGGGUGCGAAGGUGGCGGUGGCCUAGCCGGUCGGAGAGCCGGAACCGGCGGUCGAGGCGGGGAGAGAAAGUCCGAGCCUGCUGUGGGCUGGGACCACACAAACCUGGCUUUCAAGUCCUCCAUGAUCUGUGCGGUUCAGAACGUCGGCUGUCGACAGGGGUUUCUGCGAGGCCACAACAGUCUGGCUCGAACAUCCUGUUAAGAACUCGCAUGGCUGCCGUUUUUGUGACCCCAAGAUGCAGGAACCAGGAGAGCGAAGAGAAGGGUCACAGGGGGGCGCUGGCGCCUACCUCAGCUACAAUCGGGCGGAAAGCGGCGUACACCCUGGACGAGUCGCCACCUCAUCACAGUAAUUGUAUAAUUGUAUGGAAGUAAACAUGAAAUAAAUGUACGGAUACAUGUUCAAUAUAUUAUGAAAUAUAUUGUAAUUGUAAUAUGUAUGCACUAUUGUUAUACCUAUAUGAAAACAUGCACAUACAAUGUAUGCCUCCUAUUAACACAAGAGGGGUAAUCAAUCAAAAGUCACCUUAAUUUUCUUUUUAGGCAGACACUGAACACAGUAAUACGUAGGAGACCUUGCAUACGGUCUUAUAUAUCUCUCAACAUUUUUAUAAAUGCCAUUGAAAUUAAAAUAUACAAAACAUAAAUUAAAGCAAUUUUAAUGAACAAUGUCUAUUUUAUAUAUAUAUAUAUAUAUAUAUACAUAUAUAUAUAUAUAUAUAUAUAUAUAUAUAUAGUUAUGUAUAUAGUUUAAUGAACAAUGUCUAUUAUACAUAUAUGUAUAUAUAUUAAGGGUGGGCAAAUUAAUGCGUUAAUUAUGAGUUAACUCAUCACUCUAUUAACGCCGACAAUUAUUUUAUCGCACAUUUGCGUAUGUUGUUUACAUGCUUUUAUUUUGUUAACGCCUUUUCUUAACAAGAUGGCGUUGCCCGGCGUCGAGGGGCUCUUGGUAAAGAUGGAACAUUUGGCAAAAAUACCAGACAAUUCUGCAAAUUUCAUGGCUGGCUUACAGCGUGGUCACUCCGGGAUCACUUACGACCGCCAGACAAUUCUGGAUGUGGAUAGAUCGGGCCGUUUUGGACUGAAUGACGCUUGCUUGCUAGAUCGGCUAGCUAGCAUGGGAAUACUUUGCCGGCUACAUCCAGCAGCCUGUGAAGCAGCAGAGUAUAUGUGUUGUCUGUCUAUUUAUGAAUAAUGCAGACGAGGCGUAUUGGCUGAGUUCUUAACGUUUACUUUCAGAGCGUGCAUAUCACAACAUACAAGAUGCCGUCAUGGCGACACACAACCUAUACCGGGCUACCGCGCAUGCUCGUCACUCCUGUUGCAUGCUGGGUAGGGUAGUUCUUUUAUUCCCUGGCUCAUAACGUCACCAUAUAGUACCAUGUAUAUGAUGCGUUCAGUUUAUCAAAGCACCAAGCAAACAAUCGGAAAAUUCCCAUCAUAUCAAUUCCUAGAUAUGGUCAUAAUAAUCUUAAAUGCACUACGCAGAAUAAACACAACAUUAUUAAUAUAGCUACUACGGAUAAUUUGAUCAAAAAUUCCCUAAAACAGCCCACUACCUAUAAUAUAGGUUUUUUAAACAUAAGAUCCCUGAUAAAAAAAUGUUUCUGCUCUUACCUCAGAAAUUGCCUGUUCAGAUGUUGUGAUUGUGGCUCAGAGAUUUGUAUGUAGAUUAUAUUUAUUUUCCAUAACAAACAGGAUAACUUAAAUACCCUGGCAGUGGCAAUAAGCUUAAAUGUUUGUAUUUACAUUUUUUUAGUUGAUUUUCAUAAAAUAUGCCAUUUAACUGCUUCUGUUUAACAAGGACUGAUUUAAAUUGUGUUUGCACAACAAAUGUUUUGGCGCUUUUGUUCAUGUGGGAGAAUAUUCCAAUAAAGGUGCACUACACACUA